rnacentral:rRNA from 1 species
CUACGGGCUGCUGCAGUGAGGAAUAUUGCACAAUGGGGGGAACCCUGAUGCAGCAACGCCGCGUGGGGGAUGACGCAUUUCGGUGUGUAAACUCCUUUUAUAUGUCAAGAAAAUGACGGUAGCAUAUGAAUAAGCACCGGCUAACUCCGUGCCAGCAGCCGCGGUAAUACGGAGGGUGCAAGCGUUACUCGGAAUCACUGGGCGUAAAGGACGCGUAGGCGGGUUGGAAAGUCAGGUGUGAAAUCCUACAGCUUAACUGUAGAACUGCACUUGAAACUUCUAAUCUAGAGUAUGGGAGGGGGAGAUGGAAUUAGUGGUGUAGGGGUAAAAUCCGUAGAUAUCACUAGGAAUACCUAAAGCGAAGGCGAUCUCCUGGAACAUUACCGACGCUAAGGCGUGAAAGCGUGGGGAGCAAACAGGAUUAGAUACCCCAGUAGUC